GCUUGCUUUGGCAGUGCAUAUACUAAAAUUGAAACAAUACAAAGAUUAUUGGCAUGGCCCCUAUGCAAGAGUGACAUGCAAAUUCUUGAAAUGUUUCAUAUUUUU